rnacentral:rRNA from 1 species
AUGAACGCUGGCGGCGUGCCUAAUACAUGCAAGUCGAGCGGACGGACGAGAAGCUUGCUUCUCUGAUGUUAGCGGCGGACGGGUGAGUAACACGUGGAUAACCGACCUAUAAGACGGGGAUAACUUCGGGAAACCGGAGCUAAUACCGGAUAAUAUUUUGAACCGCAUGGUUCAGAAGUGAAAGACGGUCGGGCGGUGACUUAUAGAUGGAUCCGCGCUGCAUUAGCUAGUUGGUAAGGUAACGGCUUACCAAGGCAACGAUGCAUAGCCGACCUGAGAGGGUGAUCGCCCCCCCUGGAACUGAGACACGCUCCAGACUCCUACGGUAGGCAGCAGUCGGCAAUCUUCCGCAAUGGGCGAAAGCCUGACGGAGCAACGCCGCGUCAGUGAUGAAGGUCUUCGGAUCGUAAAACUCUCUUAUUAGGGAAGAACAUAUGUGUCAGUAACUGUGCACAUCUUGACGGUACCUAAUCAGAAAGCCACGGCUAACUACGUG